GAUGAACGUUAGCGGGAGGCUUAAUACAUGCAAGUCGAGCGGUAAGUUUUUAUAGCAAUAUGAAGACCUAGAGCGGCGCACGGGUGAGUAACGCGUACACGACCUGGCCUAAACUGGGGGAUAGCCUUGGGAAACUGAGAGUAAUCCCGCAUGUGAUUAUGUUACUGAUGGUGGUAUAAUUAAAGCUUCGGCGGUUUAGGAUGGGUGUGCGUCUGAUUAGCUAGUUGGUAGUGUAACGGACUACCAAGGCGAUGAUCAGUAGGGGGCGUGAGAGCGUGACCCCCCACACGGGUACGUGAGACACGGACCCGGACUCCUACGGGAGGGCAGCAGUAAGGAAU
rnacentral:rRNA from 1 species